UGUCAAAUAGAUUUAUAUGAUAAAAUUAUUUUUAAAAAAUUGAAAGGGAAAGGUAGGAUUUCCACUCCGUUUGUCCUCGGCCUCGUCCGUCCUAUUCUUCUCCUCCAACCACUAACCUUAGAGGAAUUCGGUGGCUCGGAGUUGGUCAAAACUCCUCAUGGAUCGGAGUCGGGGCUUCACGAGGAGCGCUGUCAAAGGAUCUCGAGCUCUCUUGCUUUUCCCGGAAGCUCAUGUUAUCGGGUUUUCCAUAACUGAUUAGUGAAACCAAAUUAGGAUAAUAACAGAACCGAUUAGGCUUCUCCAGCGUCAAACCGGUCAGCUGAGGGGUCCCAGGUCGUAAGAGGUAAAAGAGUAAGGGCCGCGCCGGCAGGGAAGGAAAAAGGGGGCGGUGCGGAGGAGGGAGUGGUAGGCUGAAAGAAAAUUUAACUGAUAAUUGAGGGCAAACCUGGCAUUUCGAUGUCAGUAGUUUAAACUGGGCCUGAAUCGAAGUUGCUCUAUAACGGGUAUGAUUAAAAAAAGAAUCGAAUUUUCUCUACAAUAACCAGUUUAGAGUAGCAGUGAUCGGUCGCGCACAUGGCGCACUCUCAUUUGACGAAUAUACAUGUUAGGGAAAAUUGACGUAAUUUUGGACGGAAUGAUUGAACUCAUACCGUGCGGAAAAGAUUGAUGACGAAAUCCAACCAAAGCAAAGGUUCAGGACUAAAAUAGAAAAAUAGUUAAAUGUUGAUGACCAAAUUUGACCUUUGCCUAAAUAUUUCUAUUUAUAAAGUUAUUUUUUACAUGCUAUCUUGUUAAAACUGUUGUUGUGAGUCAUACUGAAUCAAAGAGGUGGAAACUCAGAGAUAUUGCCUCCGCAUUGAUGCGGACAGAUCACCUUUCAUUACUCUUGGCCCAAAAGUGGACUAAUCCUCAAACUUAUCUUGGAUGCCUGAAAAAGGGCCCGAUUUUCAGGGAUCCCAAACUUAAGUGGUAUGAGCCGCUCCACGAGCUGCUUGGGAAAGAUUACUUUCUCCAGGCUUAUGGUCCAAUCUAUGCCCUUUCUGCUGAUGUUUCGUCGCAAGCCAUCACUAAUCUCAGAAAUAAUAGGCAAGCUAUCUGAGUGAACAAGAAUGUGCUUCAGGAUGUCCAGUAAUGAGGACGUCACAAUAGGUGCAUGGAUGCUAGCAAUGAAUGUCAACCAUGAGAACCACAGAUUACUGCAUGUACCAAGCUGUGAACCGCAAGCCAUUGCCGUGUGGGAUAUUCCCAAGUGCUCAGGGCUAUGUCAUCCCGAGAAGCAGUUACUGGAGCUCCAUCGAAUGGAGAGCUGCUCGAAGAGCCCCACUGUGCCUUUGGAAGACUAGUUCUCUUCUGCUCCUUCUCAUCCAUCCAAACGUCAUCUCGGGUCAUUGACAGUACAGCUGAUUUAUGCGCAGUCAGCGGGAUACACGACAUAGUACACAGACUCAACACGAACAAAAAGUUUUUGCAGUUAAUUCUUUUUGGCUCUCUCGACGGGACCGUAUAGAUAAACCAGAGGUAUUAUUCUUUCUUCUUCUUUUUUUUUAAUGCAAUCACUGAAACAAACUCUUCAUUCAUUCUUUUUUCAGGAAUGACUCUUGAGCACCUAAAGGGUGAUUUGUACUUUAAAGAUUCGGAAAGAAUCAGUCAGAAUACAAAGUUUUAACUCUUUCUUCCGCUAACAUCCUGCAGGCUGUCAAGAGUUUAGCUUUUGAAUGCAGCAACUCGUACGGUUUCUCGUAUAUUUUAAACUAACACGUACGCUAGCUAAAGUGUUGAUAUAAAUUUGCAAAAAUGACAAGUUUUUAGAUAUCUGCAAGUGCAAAUGCAGGGAUGAUGGAGAGGAAGAAGAAAGCGGACGGAAGGUAUGGAGCAUUUGUCCCUGUCGCAUAUAAUAUGUCAUUUCUCAUCACUUUGACGAUGAAGCAUGCCGCCGCCACCAUACUUAAUUAGUUAGUUAGAACCACGUACUGAGCUUUGGCCAGUUAAUCUCCUGGGAUGUCGAUCGAUGUCAACGAAUGGGAUCUCAUCUGGCACAUCGGGGGGGUUUGAGUUUGGUGAUCCCUGCUGCAAUCUCUGACUGGAGCGAGUAGACUUUACAAAAUGGACAUUUUGAACAAAAAGCAAAGAAAAGCCCAAAUACACCCACGAAGGCCGAAAGGGGCUCAAGUUCAACCCUUCUCUGUCCAUUCUCUAAGCUCAGCCCUUAUCUUUUUAUUCUCUCCUCUUUUUUAUUGCAUGAAAGGCAUGUAGACUUAAUUUAAUAAAAUAGAAUUCACAGUAAUUAUUAAAGAAA